CCCGAGCCGGAGUCGGACGUGCAACCGACAGAGCCACCCAAGCAUCCCAUCCAUUCUCUACUCUUAACCAAAGAGGUAUUCUAAAAACUGUACAUCUUUUGGUGGUGCUCCAUUGCUCUUAAGCUAAGAGUCAAAAUCUGUGCCACCAAGGUAGCCCUGGCACCCUGCUGUCCUCCAGCCCCCACCUCCGGCACUUUCCCCCUCAGCCUGGCUAUUUCUCUGUCGUCCAGAACAUCAUUCUCCCUCGCCCGCAGUGCCCACACUGGGAGGGUUUUCUUCACCCUGUCUCCUGACUAAGCCCUUCUCGUGCUUCAGACCUCAGCUCAAAUGCCAUGACUCCAGACCAGGUAAGAUCUGCUGUUCUGUGCUUUGUAGAUUCUUCAUUGCCUCAUGUAACUCUCAUUGACACGGCUGGCCAAAGCCUAAGUUUGCACGAUGUGUGAAUUUACUUCGUCAAUGCUUGCCUCCCCACUGGAAUCUAAGCUCCUCCAAGACCAGAGACAUCUCUUUUGCCAGUUGCUGAAACUCCCAUCCCAAGUCCAGUGCCAGGGCCACCGUGUCCCCACCCCCUGGCAAGGGCUCUCUGCUGAGGUUUGCUCAGUGGUGGGUCGGGGAUGGGUGUGUGGGAGGCCUGGAGUGCCGCUUCCGCAAAAUCUCCCUCUGUGGACCAAGUUUCCAGUUGGAAAAUGCUGCCUCCCCCUGGUCACCUGCACGGACAGGAGAGGGCCGUGGGGGACCUGCAGGGCCCUGUCAGGGUCAGGAUGGGCAGAAUUUUCCAAGUCGAUGAUGAACAGCUGUGUUCCUUUUUUUUUUUUUUUAAGGUGGAGCAUGAAAAAAAUCCUGGAAACUGGAAUAACUAUUUGCUGGUUGACCCAUUUUCCAUAGAUUAAGCCGAAGAGUUUGCAAAUGAGUUGAAAGUGGAGGGUCUGAAGGUUUUGCCUGGAAUUGUCAUUGUCUUUUAAUGGUGUAUCUUAAACGUAUAAAUUGUUACUACUGAUUUGAUGGCAAAUCAUUGACUUUAUAGACAAAACCUGCAUUUUGAGUCUUUUCGUUCACUAAUUUUUUAAUGAAAAUAUCCUUGUAUUUUUAUCUGGUCCUCUGGUAACCAACAACAUGGGCAUUUGUCUGUGUCUAUAACGCAGAUUAAGAUGGUUGGUCAAUGAGACAAAUCAGAGCCAUCAGUUUGAAACCCUUGUCCAACUUGGCUGCGGGCUCCCAAUGGGCAGGGGCCGUGUCUUAUUCGAUUCUCUUCCCCCAGCUCCUGGCAGGAUGUUCAGAACACAGAAGGUUGCUCAUUGAAAUUUGCUGAAUAUAUGCUGCCUGGCAGUGUUGCAAUGAAAAGAGCCUACCAUCUACUUAAAGUGAAUGUGGAAUGAGCUGUCAAGAUGGUAAGUUCCCCAGGGUAGAGGAUCAGGUCCGUCUUGACUGCUGCUGAAUCCAUGGUGCCUGUUCCUGCUCCUGACACACAGAAGGUGCUCCAUAAAUUUUUGCUGUGUGACGGGAUGUGUAGGCAAAUCGAAGCGAUGGAAAGUGAGAGACCCUUUGGACGUUGUGCAGAGUCGGCCCCGUGUUUUCUGUCACGAGACGGUGGUCGAAAUGGCUAACAGCACUCCACCGAGCCUGGAGGGAAGGGAUGGUCAGGAGUAAGGUCCAGGCUCUCCUGCCAACGUGGCCCCACUGGGAUUCUGGGACUCACAGAAAGAGGAACAGAUCCCUCCCGCCCCACCCUCAGGAUUUUCUCUUUGCAUAUGAAAAGACUGUGAGGGCCCUGAAGAUGGGGUGUGUGCAUUGGGCAGAAUUGUAGUCUGAAGCUUAAUCUGAAAAGGAAGGAGGGUGGGGGGUGGCUUGGACACCCAUGCCUCUAUCCAUCGGGGAGCAAUCUGGGUCCCACUAACACCCUUCCUCUCUUUCCUGUCUCCAUGUGCACACCCAGCGGACCUCUGCGAGGGGAACAGGUGGUGGGUGAAUGCCUGAAUGACCAUGGCUGAGCGCUCCUGCGGGUUAGGGGACAAAGCAGUUGCCAUGCAAGGGUUCAAAUCCCCCAGGUCUGACUGCAGUGUCUCCCAUGAACAGGUCUAUUUAAGACGUGAUUUGGAACGUGACAAUGACAUUCAGCGUGUAUGCCACCUCCUUUCUUACUACCAGCAGCCUUACCCCGCUCCGCCCUAGAUUUUUCCACCUACGCUAUUGCCACUUGGUAAAGAGGGAAGCUCAAAGCACACGCUGGUGUGCCCAAAUUCUCAUUAAUUCCUCCCUGUGAUUUGGGGAGAAAUCGAGGUUACUUUAGUAGCAGCUUCUGAGUAAAAGUAAGCAGCCUCUUAGAGAACAAACAACCCUCCUGUUUCCGAAACUCCUCCCUGGACACUUAUUUGCCAGAGAGAAGUCAACAUGCCUUAUGGCUGGGAUCUAACAGGGUCUAAAGGGAUGGUCAGGGACACACGUGGCACAUGUUGGUCUUUCGCCUAGCACAAGCCAAGACUGGACCUUCUGGGCCAAAGUGGGUCUUCCGAGGGCAACAUUCAGCUUUUUGCUUUUUCCCUGCAAUGGGUGUAUGGUUCUCCUUCCCCAAAUGGACAUCUAGGCUUGGAUGGCAAAUUGCCCAUUGAGGGGUCCAAUUCCCCCCCGGACCUUGUGUCUCCCUUCUGAUACUGAACAGUAUGGGUAGUGCAAUCCCCAGCCGGGAGGCAUUCCUGCAGGCAAACAGGCAGCCAUUCUCAGAGUGUCCUGACCUUUGCACAUGGUUUUUAUUUUCCCUCACCACCACGAAGGCAAUGUCACCCUCCACAUUGGCGGGUGCUUUGGCCCUGUGCUGAUGUAGAGGUCCCACUCUUGCCUCGGCCUAUGUCACACGCACUGAUCUUAUACCUUGCUAUAGAGCGAAUGUUUGUGUCCCUUCCAAAAUUCACAUGUUGAAAUCCUAACCCCUGACACGAUCAUGUUAGGAGGUGGGCCUUUGAAGGUGAUUAGGCAUCUAUGAACUAGGACAUGGGACCCUCACGGGACACCCCAAAUCUGCCAGAGCCUUGAUCUUGGACCUUCUAGACUCCAGAAUGGUAGAAAUAAA